rnacentral:lncRNA from 1 species
UUUAGCAUAUGUCAAACCUUGAGAGAAAUCCAAGCAAUCUUUCUACUGUUAGCAAUUGAUCUCCCACCCAUCAUCAUAGUUGCUGGAAUAGAACUGUUUAUAAAAAAAGGUUUUAGCAUUCAUUUAUAUAACAAAGAAAGUCCAAACAUUGAUGUUCUUACCAAUCAAUUGCUUGUUUGAGUUGUGUGGGAGGAGGCCUGUGCAAUGAACAGAACCACAAAGCAGUGUUGUCUUGCAUAGACAUAACAAGAAGUUGC